GAUUGCCUUAGAGGGAUAACAAUUGGAACGAUGCUAUACCCCAUAUGCCUUCGAGUGAAAUGGAUUUAUAUUAUCCGCCUAGAGAGAAGCUCGCGGCUGAUUAGCUUGUUGGUAAGGUAAGAGCUUACCAAGGCGACGAUCAGUAUCUGGUUUGAGAGGACGAUCAGACACACUGGAACUGAGACACGGUCCAGACUCCUACGGGAGGCAGCAGUGGGGAAUUUUCCGCAAUGGGCGAAAGCCUGACGGAGCAAUACCGCGUGAGGGAAGACUGCCUAUGGGUUGUAAACCUCUUUUUUCAGGGAGGAAUCAAUGACGUGUACCUGAAGNAUAAGC
rnacentral:rRNA from 1 species